CCUACGGGUGGCAGCAGUGAGGAAUAUUGGUCAAUGGACGCGAGUCUGAACCAGCCAAGUAGCGUGAAGGAUGACUGCCCUAUGGGUUGUAAACUUCUUUUAUAAAAGAAUAAAGUGAGGCACGUGUACCUUUUUGUAUGUACCUUAUGAAUAAGGAUCGGCUAACUCCGUGCCAGCAGCCGCGGUAAUACGGAGGAUUCGAGCGUUAUCCGGAUUUAUUGGGUUUAAAGGGAGCGUAGGUGGAUGGUUAAGUCAGUUGUGAAAGCUUGCGGCUCAACCGUAAAAUUGCAUUUGAAACUGGCAGUCUUGAGUACAGUAGAGGUAGGCGGAAUUCGUGGUGUAGCGGUGAAAUGCUUAGAUAUCACGAAGAACUCCGAUUGCGAAGGCAGUUCACUGGACUGCAACUGACACUGAGGCUCGAAAGUGUGGGUAUCAAACAGGAUUAGAUACCCGAGUAGUC
rnacentral:rRNA from 1 species